rnacentral:rRNA from 1 species
GGGUGAGUAAUGCGUGACCAACCUGCCCCAUGCUCCAGAAUAGCUCUUGGAAACGGGUGGUAAUGCUGGAUGCUCCAACUUGACGCAUGUCUUGUUGGGAAAGUGUUUAGUGGCAUGGGAUGGGGUCGCGUCCUAUCAGCUUGUAGGCGGGGUAAUGGCCCACCUAGGCUUCGACGGGUAGCCGGCCUGAGAGGGCGGACGGCCACAUUGGGACUGAGAUACGGCCCAGACUCCUACGGGAGGCAGCAGC